rnacentral:rRNA from 1 species
UACGAAGGGGGCUAGCGUUGCUCGGAAUCACUGGGCGUAAAGGGUGCGUAGGCGGGUCUUUAAGUCAGGGGUGAAAUCCUGGAGCUCAACUCCAGAACUGCCUUUGAUACUGAGGAUCUUGAGUUCGGGAGAGGUGAGUGGAACUGCGAGUGUAGAGGUGAAAUUCGUAGAUAUUCGCAAGAACGCCAGUGGCGAAGGCGGCUCACUGGCCCGGUACUGACGCUGAAGUGCGAAAGCGUGGGGAGCAAACAGG